UACAGAGGUCUCAAGCGUUGUUCGGAUUCAUUGGGCGUAAAGGGUGUGUAGGUGGCGCGGUAAGUCGGGUGUGAAAUUUCGGAGCUUAACUCCGAAACUGCAUUCGAUACUGGCGUGCUUGAGGACUGGAGAGGAGAUUGGAAUUUACGGUGUAGCAGUGAAAUGCGUAGAUAUCGUAAGGAAGACCAGUGGCGAAGGCGAAUCUCUGGACAGUUACUGACACUGAGGCACGAAGGCCAGGGGAGCAAACGGG
rnacentral:rRNA from 1 species